rnacentral:rRNA from 1 species
GGAUUAGAUACCCUGGUAGUCCACGCCCUAAACGAUGUACACUAGUUGUUGGGGUGCUAGUCAUCUCAGUAAUGCAGCUAACGCAUUAAGUGUACCGCCUGGGGAGUACGGUCGCAAGAUUAAAACUCAAAGGAAUAGACGGGGACCCGCACAAGCGGUGGAGCAUGUGGUUUAAUUCGAAGAUACGCGAAGAACCUUACCUGGGCUUGAUAUCCUAAGAACCUUAUAGAGAUAUGAGGGUGCUAGCUUGCUAGAACUUAGAGACAGGUGCUGCACGGCUGUCGUCAGCUCGUGUCGUGAGAUGUUGGGUUAAGUCCCGCAACGAGCGCAACCCACGUAUUUAGUUGCUAACGGUUCGGCCGAGCACUCUAAAUAGACUGCCUUCGUAAGGAGGAGGAAGGUGUGGACGACGUCAAGUCAUCAUGGCCCUUAUGCCCAGGGCGACACACGUGCUACAAUGGCAUAUACAAUGAGACGCAAUACCGCGAGGUGGAGCAAAUCUAUAAAAUAUGUCCCAGUUCGGAUUGUUCUCUGCAACUCGAGAGCAUGAAGCCGGAAUCGCUAGUAAUCGUAGAUCAGCCAUGCUACGGUGAAUACGUUCCCGGGUCUUGUACUCACCGCCCGUCACACCAUGGGAGUUGAUUUCACUCGAAGCCGGAAUACUAAACUAGUUACCGUCCACAGUGGAAUCAGCGACUGGGGUGAAGUCGUAACAAGGUAACCGUAGGAGAACCUGCGGUUGGAUCACCUCCUUUCUA